UACGUAGGAGGCAAGCGUUGUCCGGAAUUACUGGGCGUAAAGCGCGUGUAGGUGGUGGGACAAGUCUGCUGUGAAAGUGCCUGGCUUAACCGGGCGAGGUCGGCGGAAACUGUCCGACUCGAGGACGGUAGAGGGGGGUGGAAUUCCCGGUGUAGUGGUGAAAUGCGUAGAGAUCGGGAGGAACACCUGUGGCGAAGGCGGCCCCCUGGGCCGGGCCUGACACUGAGACGCGAAGGCGUGGGGAGCGAACGGG
rnacentral:rRNA from 1 species